UACGGUUAGUUCCGGCGUCGCCUUCGCUCCGGAGCGCGACGGUAACGUUUGGCCCCUGCGCUAAAAACAGGAAGAAAAAAAGAGAGAAAAAAAGUGCGUUCCUCGUGACGUCGCGGCGACGGCGCAGGUACCCUGACAUUUUUCCGCUCGCCAGCAGUGCGGUGUGAACAUUGUGUUCCCUCAGCUGGGCGGCGGGUACCUGCGGCGGCCGGUGACGGUGUUUUGCGGCAAGAUCAGUGAUUAAGUUCACCGUGCGCUGACCCCCCUCCCACCGCCCCCUUCUCUCUAUCUCUCUCUCUCUCUCUCUCACUCUCUCUCUCUCUCACUCUCUCUCUCUAUUUCUCCUUUCAGUGUCUCUCUCUCCCUCUCUCCCUCUCUCUCUCUCUCUAUCUCUCUCUUUCCCUCUCGGUUUCCCUCCCUCUCUCUCUCCUCUCUCUUUCUCCUUUCAAUGUCUCUCUCUCUCUAUCUCUCUCUCUCUCUACUCUCUCUCCUCUCUCUCUCCCCGAGUUGUCUGCUUGUUUCUCCUCUGCGCGGUGCCCGAUCGUAGCGCCUUUUUGUUGUUGUGGUGGGCUGGUAAUUUGCGUCCUCCCUUUUGAGCCGGGUUGAUUCAUGAGGUUAAAUUAGCCGGUGAAAGAUCAUCAGUGGCUGUACAAGGGCAGCUAUAACUCAUCUCUUCCCUUCUGGAAGGUUCCCCAGCUCUCCCCCUGCUACAUGUGGUUAACCUUCUUUUUUUCAUUAUUUCUGAUGUCAAAACAACAUGCUUGCAAAGAUAUAUAUGUAACAGUGAACACCUCAGGUGGUGUCAACGGCAAUGAAAAUACCUGCACCUCAUUGCCAGGGAUAACCUUGCAGGGGAUGUUCCAGAAAUAUUAACCUUGUAUAUCAAGUCUCUCACGUGGCUGCCAAAUGACUUUGCAUCAGUCUUUAUACUUCAUUUCUCCAAACUAAGAAUAAAUAUUUUAAAUGAAUAUUAUUAUUGUUAUUAUUAUUAAUGAUGAUAAUAGUAAUAAUAAUACUAAUAAAAAUGAUAAUGGAAACAAACAAAAAGGCAUUUACAGUGUUCACUUUUUUAGUUGCAUUCCAACUGAAAUAGAAUAGGCAUAUAUAGAAAUUUUGUAUGUGCAUGAGGCUACACACUGUGCAGACGGGGUGUUCUGACUGUGUGGUAGGGGUCUUCUGACUGCACACUGCACAGUGGAGGUGUUCUGACUGCACGCUGCACAUUUAGGGUGUUCCAACUGCGCUUUGUGUAGUAGGGGUGUUCUGACUGUGCACUACGCAGUAGGGGUGUUCUGACUGCACACUGCACAGUGGGGGUGUUCUGACUGCGCACUGUGCAGUAGGGGUGUUCUGACUGCACACUGUGCAGUAGGGGUGUUGUGACUGCACACUGCGCAGUGGGGGUGUUCUGACUGCACACUGCACAGUAGGGGUGUUGUGACUGCACACUGUUCAGUAGGGGUGUUGUGACUGCACACUGCGCAGUAGGGGUGUUGUGACUGCACACUGCGCAGUAGGGGUGUUCUGACUGCACACUGCUCAGUAGGGGUGUUCUGACUGCACACUGCACAUUAGGGGUGUUCUGACUGCACACUGCACAUUAGGGGUGUUGUGACUGCACACUGCGCAGUAGGGGUGUUGUGACUGCACACUGCACAGUGGGGGUGUUCUGACUGCACACUGCACAGUGGGGGUGUUGUGACUGCACACUGCGCAGUGGGGGUGUUCUGACUGCGCCUUUUGCAGUAGGGGUGUUCUGACUGUGCUUUGUGCAGGAGAAAGUGUGUGUUUUGGGUUUUAUGGCAGCCUGCGUUGUCUCAGCAUUCCUUCUCAUAAACACUUUACAGCACACUGCGUUCCCCAGAGCUCUGCUCUUUUGAAGAAAUCUGUUGACGCAACUAUUAAAUACAAUUAUUACCAUAUGCUUAAUCAGAAUGUGUACUCUAAAAUAGAAAGGGAGAGACACAGCGAGAGACAGAGAGAGAGAGAGAAUGUGUGAAUGUGUGUGUGUGUGUAUGUGUGUGUUUGUGUGUGUAUAUAUAUGCACAUUUAAAUGCUCAGGUGUGUGUGUACGUGUGCAUGCUCAAGUGUGUGUGUGUGUGUGUGUGUAUGCGUGCAUGCUCAGGUGUGUGUGUGUGCGUGCAUGCUUAGGUGUGUGUGUGUGUGCGUGCGUGCAUGCUCAGGUGUGUUUGUGUGUGUGUGUGUUUAUGCGUGCAUGCUCAGGUGUGUGUGUGUAUACAUGUGCAUGGUCAGGUGUGUGUGUAUACAUGUGCACGCUCAGGUGUGUGUGAGUAUACAUGUGCAUGCUCAGGUGUGUGUGUGUAUACAUGUGCAGGCUCAGGUGUGUGUGAGUAUACAUGUGCAUGCUCAGGUGUGUGUGUGUAUACAUGUGCAUGUUCAGGUGUGUGUGUGUGUACAUGUGCAUGCUCAGGUGUGUGUGAGUGUACAUGUGCAUGCUCAGGUGUGUGUGUUUAUGCGUGCAUGCUCAGGUGUGUGUGUAUACAUGUGCACGCUCAGGUGUGUGUGAGUAUACAUGUGCACGCUCAGGUGUGUGAGUGUACAUGUGCACGCUCAGGUGUGUGUGUGUAUACAUGUGCACGCUCAGGUGUGUGUGAGUGUACAUGUGCAUGCUCAGGUGUGUGUGAGUAUACAUGUGCACGCUCAGGUGUGUGUGUGUAUACAUGUGCACGCUCUGGUGUGUGUGUGUAUACAUGUGCAUGCUCAGGUGUGUGUGAGUAUACAUGUGCACGCCCAGGUGUGUGUGUGUGUACAUGUGCACGCUCAGGUGUGUGUGUGUGUACAUGUGCACGCUCAGGUGUGUGUGAGUGUACAUGUGCACGCUCAGGUGUGUGUGAGUGUACAUGUGCACGCUCAGGUGUGUGUUGGGGUUGUCAGGCUGUCACAGAGCUCAGCGCUCUCACAGGAGUAAUGGGCGCUGGAAGCGGAGAUGAUGGCUGAUCACCCCGGGGCAGUGACUGGGGCGAACCGCGCAGGCGGGAUCAAAGUGCGUCCGAAGGGCCGGGGCCGCCGGUCCCGCGGCUCGACCGCUGCCCCCAGCCACCCGCCGCCAUCCGUUUCCAUCGGCCGCCCCGCAGUCCCGUGCGCACAGGCCCGAGACAAAAAUAACUUUUAAUAACAUAAACCACGUUUCCCAGAUUUACCAGGGACAGACGGUGUCUGGGCUGCGAUGACACAGCAUGCGUCUGAGUUGCCAUGACGGUUUCCGCAGAACUGCUAUUCAGCUCUGCAGGCUAUAUGUUCGCAAUAAAUUAAUAAAUACACAAAUAUGAAAAAAAA